rnacentral:rRNA from 1 species
AUUGAACGCUGGCGGCAGGCCUAACACAUGCAAGUCGAACGGUAACAGGAAGCAGCUUGCUGCUUUGCUGACGAGUGGCGGACGGGUGAGUAAUGUCUGGGAAACUGCCCGAUGGAGGGGGAUAACUACUGGAAACGGUAGCUAAUACCGCAUAACGUCGCAAGACCAAAGAGGGGGACCUUAGGGCCUCUUGCCAUCGGAUGUGCCCAGAUGGGAUUAGCUAGUAGGUGGGGUAACGGCUCACCUAGGCGACGAUCCCUAGCUGGUCUGAGAGGAUGACCAGCCACACUGGAACUGAGACACGGUCGAGACUCCUACGGGAGGCAGCAGUGGGGAAUAUUGCACAAUGGGCGCAAGCCUGAUGCAGCCAUGCCGCGUGUAUGAAGAAGGCCUUCGGGUUGUAAAGUACUUUCAGCGGGGAGGAAGGGAGUAAAGUUAAUACCUUUGCUCAUUGACGUUACCCGCAGAAGAAGCACCGGCUAACUCCGUG